rnacentral:lncRNA from 1 species
CCAAAGGUCUAGAUGAUAGGAUCCCUUGGUUAAUCAAAGUGUAUGUUCAGCUAUAUAAGGGUAGCACACCAACGUGUGCUCGGAUCAGCCUAUUCGAUGCGGAGUAGGAACCGAGUUCAUAACGAUUACGGUAUACUAUAGUUUUUUUUGGAAAAGUAUACUGUAGAUAGAUAAAUUCCAAGCCCAACUUUACAUGCCCCACGUAUGAAGCCUAUUCAGGCCAAGCAGUUUUGACAACACCACGUAUAAACAACCCGUACAGGUUAUCAUCAUCUACUUACAACUCCCCUCCUUUAUAUAUACAAAUAAAAAAACUCUCAGCUCAGUCGUUCCCCUCCAGUAUCCUUAUCCAUCCGCACGCACCACUUCUUCCAUUAGCCGGCUGAUUAAGAUCUUGCUGCUUGCCAUCACCAAAUUGAUUCUCAAACCAUCACGGCUGAUUCAUUCCUUCCCAUUUCUCUUCGUGUAGGUACUGGCACAGUUUGCCGUUGAGCAGAGUGCACGGACGCAUCCGUCGCAUUCUCAAGGAUGUGGAUUCUCGACGACCUCGUGGAGUUCGGCAGAGCGUUCUCAAGGGUUUCGGCCAAGAUGAUGACCUCUUCUUGGCGUACGGCUAGAGGUCCAUGGCAGAGGUGUUGUAGUUUGGCCCAGUGGAGGAGGCUGCGAGGGAAAUCACCGAGUCAUGUACUGAGUGAGUUAUUAGAUCUGACAUCUAGAGAAUACAAAUAGAAGCCGACGACCAUGAGAUGCUGGCCUUCUCAUUGUUCUUGCUGUCAGGCUACCACUAACUGUAAGUGCCAACCGAGGAUUAUUUCUUAUACUUUAUCCAUAGUAGUAUUGUACUCCAUAGUAUUUUUAAUUUGUUAUUUGCAAGAAAUGAUGCCUUUUCCCUUAAAAAGGGCCUUAUGAAGAGAAAGUUUGUUCACCUUGGAUAUUAAUUUUGUUAUAGGUUUGUUGAGCAGCUCACUUGUGCUAGCAAGACGCCAUGGAUUUGCUUAUAACAAAUCCUGCUAUUAAGUUACAGAUGAAGCAAGGUAUGUUCCUCUCUGUUGUUCUGGCGAAGUAUAGUUUCUUCAAAUUAGCCCUAAUUAUCUUGAUAAGCUACCGAUCCGCUAAUUAUCUUGAUAACAUCCUUUUUCUCCUGGCCUUCGAUUUCGGUACUUCAUCUUCAUUUUCAACCAUUUUAUUUUUGGCUUCUGCUUUAACAUGUUCCUUGUUCCCGCAAACACCUUUUCCCUUUUGUUGAGGCAUAUUGGUCUCAAUGCAUUCAUCCUCUGACUCGUCUGAUAUUACAACAAAUCUCAGUCUCCUUUUAGUGCCACUGCGGAGCUCACGUGAUGACGAUGAUAUUUUGUCUUGACGCUUAUCUUUGUUUAAUGUAGUCCCAGUGCUGUCAUGUGGCUCCUCUUUCACAGGCACCUGUUCACAUGAAAGUUUGCCAGAUGAAACUUUAUUAUUCUGUGACUGCAAACAUAUACAUUUUGAAAAUUAGACACACCUCUAAAAUCUGAAGUGCGUAUAUAGUUAAAAAAAUCAAUCACCUUUGUAUCUGGCAUGUUUUGCUUCUUCAUUAACACGGUGUCCACCUCAUCAUCCAUCAAUUCCUGCGAAACAUAUAUAAGAUGGAUUAGUUAAGGAAGUUCGAAGAUGGUAAAAAGUUAAUGUAGCUUUACCUCCUCAGCUUUAUUGUCCAAAUAGAGCAUCUCAAGCCUAUCAUCGGGCACAAAUGUUCUUUUUACUGCAUAGUUUUGUGUGCCAAAUGUGAGAUUAUUAUCAUUGAGCUUGAAUCUAAAUAUAAGUCUUCUUCCACAUAAUUGUUGAAUAAUCUUUGGCACUUCUUCUGAUUUCCCAUCUUGUGUGUCCAGCAACUUAGAUGCAGAUGUAUUAAGCAAUCUUGCAGCCUCCUCGUCAAAUAAAGUGCAACUUGUAGUAGAUGUAUGGUCACUAAUUUGGAGUCGAACACGAUACCUAACAUACGAUUCGUGUUAGUAGGGAGUAAAUAUAAUAUAACAGUUCUUGUUCAUAUUUUAGUAAUAUAAUAUGCUUACUGAGGUGUGACCUUUUCUGGAUAUAUACCACAACUCUUGCAAUAAUAAUUUUCGGUUUCCUUGGUAGCCAAUUUGUGGCACUUGUCACAUGACAUGUACCACCAUUGAAUAUUUUCUUGCAAACGAUCUACUGUAGCUAUUGCUGUGAAUACAAAAUCCUGAAAAAAUAGUGUUAGCAUUUGAGUGGUGUGUGGGAUUAAGAGGCAUAAAUAAGCACAGUGUGGUUUCAUUGUAACCAAUAUUAAAUGAAUUGUCCAUGCCGGUCUUAUCUCGUAUCACAGAGAUUGAUAGUAUCAUUUAUUGGAAUUCUGAUGCAUUACCUGGUCUGACUUGUUUCCGUGCCUCAUUGUAGUAAGUUCUUGUAAUGUUAUCCUCUUAUAAAACAUCUGUUCUUCUAGUGUUCCUUGAUUACUUCUAUCUAUACUGAUCAUUUUUGGUAAGGUUUUUUCUGUUGAGUCCCUGCACAUGUAUGAAGUAGAUAAGAAUAUAAAAUCUUGAAUCAACCUGACUCACUAAUUAUGAGUGAAAAAAUAAACUGGAGGUGUUUUAUACCUAUCAAGAAGUUCUUGUGUUUCUGGUAUAUCCAGAUCAAUAUAUAUUCUUGUGGCACUCGUUGACUUUAGGCACAAACCUAUUUAAUCAAUCAAUUAGAAUUUGUAAAUGAUAAGAAUAGCAUGUAAGAUCUAUGCACUUACCAUUGAAUCUCUGCACCAUCGUUGAUGUGAUAAUAAGGAUAGUUUGGCUGCCGAUUACAUCCUCGGUCAGAAAAUAAGCAAACUUUCCCCAUAGCGUGAUUCUGAUUUUAUCACCCCUAAAGAAUUUAAUCUGAGAAGUUAGUGCUAACCACAUGGGGGAAGUUUAGUUAAAUUUGAGACAUGCAUAUGCAUAUACACUUACUCUGGCAUUAGGAUUUCAAUCUCACGGAUAUAGGAAGGUUGUGGGUUCCUUUUUGUUAUUCUUGUCUCCACUGGCUUCAUUUGAGUUAGUAGUCCAAUGACAUCUGCAUAUUUGGAGAUUAGUGAUAUAAAAAUUAGAAAUAUCAAUUAUUUGGAGGUCAUAAUUACAACUACAAACAUACCUGAGCAUUGUUCUUUUUCGGCCCUUUCUUCUAGUGUGUCCAUGGUAGCAAACUCGAAGCAAUAAUCUGGGAGAACUUUCGAAGAUCCUUUUAUUUCCUUUACCUUUGUAUUGUAUGCAAAAAAUAUUUUAAUUUCAUUGCUCACUGGCCUAUAUUUUGUGGAUUCCACGACCUUAAAAUUGCUGAAUGCAUAAAUAGAUUUUUCAUUGAUCUUUGAUCUAAAUGUGUCUAUAAGAUUCUUCCACAUAGUAGCAUGGAUUGUUUGACCCUGUUAAAAGAAUCAAAUAUGGUUAGUAAUUUGCUUCAUAUGACAAAAAAAUUAUAAUUUAAUAUAUUAGAAAACAAACCUGCUCAUCCAUCAGUAUCAUAUCUAUGCUAAUAAGCUCAUCGGUCAUAGGAUUCACUGAAUCCCAAAUUCUCAUUACUUUCACUUGAAUAUUCCAAUUCUAUCCUCUUGUAGUUAAGUCGCUCAACUUCUUGUAUGCCAUGUUCUUAUGUCUUAAAAAUUAACAGGGAACAGUUUAUCAAUUUAUAUAGUAUUUAUGAAGAUUCUGCACAUAAAAAGUAAGCUUGUGAAAUAACAAUUACCAAAUCUGAUGAAUCAGGUCAGAAGUGAUUUUGCGCCAAUUCUUCCAACGUCGCUUCAUCGGGUGUCGAGUGUGCUUACGCGUGAAUUUGUGGGGCGUCGAGUGAAGCGGCUGGACGUGGCUUUUCGUCUGGACGUUGAGUUGCGUGUGGCGUGUUCAAGUCGCCGUGGUCGUUUUCUUGUAAUUGUUUGAUGGGUACUUUUGCAGCCGUGUGUACUUAUUUAUAUAUGGGUUUAGGUGUCUUGGUUUGUGGUGGCUGGGACCGGCUGGAAAUCAUAUGCCUACACCGUGUGCUAAUCAAACUUGUUUUGUUUGUUUGUAUUCGUUCCUGAAACUUUCCUCACGUGAGGGAGUUGUCCUUAUACGUUUAAUAUUAGGUUCCUUAUAUCUUUUAGGUUUGACUAAUAUUUUUUUCCUUACCAUUGACCCAUCGAUGGGAAGUUCUUUUUGUACGGGCUAGUUGUAGACGCGUGCUUUGGAACCUAUGUGGACUACUUCUACGUGACAU